ensembl:lncRNA
AAAAUAUCCACAAUGUUGAGGGUUUCCAAAUGUGAGUGAUGUUAAACCAUUUUGGCAAAGCUUGAGAUUCCCAUAUCCCUUUUCACUCAAACUUCCCCUGGCAGACAGUGUUGGAUACCCCUUCAUCAGGCAGAGGACCAUUUCUAAAAUACUUUGCCAAGUAAUCCCUCAGGUGUGGUUCUCUGAUCAAUACUGAAGCCUGUGGCUGUGGAGUCCUCACGCUGCUGAACGCUGAUGUUCUACAUACGCCUCAUGUUUAUAUAAUGACCUCGCUCUCCUUCUGUGGCGCCGUAGUUUGAGAGUCAAGUUGUUUGUCUGUUGCUUCAUCUGUCACAUCCAUCCAUCUGCCGACCGCUAAAUAUGUUCCUAUCAGAGGGGCUAAGCAUUUAUAAACUCUACCCGUCAGCGUUAGAAACAGUGUUUGAAGAGUGGCCCUCACUGUCAAGACUUAAAGCCCUGAGCAGCCACACAAGAUAAGCAGCCACGCAUCUUUCCCUCAAAGCAAUGUGAAGUGUAGAAAAGAAUAAACAGACCCUCCACCAGCCAUGUUUAAAUAUAGCCGUUGAUUAGAUGGACAUUGUUCUUUGUCUGGGCUUCUCAGAUUAGACCACUUACAGAGGCAUGUAUCUUUGUGUCCCAUGAUAGCAUUUCACGCCACCAAGCUAUUUAAGAGAGAGGUUUAUUUUCCAAGUCUGCGCGGUGUCCUGGGCAAUACAGCUGAAGGGCGGAAUCUGUCUUGUUCUCUCUGUUGUGGAAAGGAGGUGAAAAGAUGUCUCAGACACACCGAGAUUCUGGCAGAACCUUUCAGGGAAUCCCACAGGCCAUGGCCAAUGGAAGAGGUUCCCAAGGACUGCACUUCUCCCGGGGAAACAAGCUGGGGUAUAUGGAGGUGGAAAUCCUGGACUCUCAAAUGGGAAGGUCCCCAUAUGUUAUUGAUAAGGUGCAUCCUUCCGCAACUGUUCUUGACCUGAAAAUUCGAUUUCAUAAAACAUGUGGCAGUACAACAGUAUCCAUACAAAUGGUGCUUCCGUCAAGCUUUUUCUCCCCACAACUUACGAUCGUCUCCUUCCAGAAUUGGAGAACUUUUAUCCUAUAGAUUAAUGUCCACCUUAAAUUGAUUACCGUAACGAUACACAUUCACCCUAUGCUAUUUCCACGCAGUAGGGAUUCAACCCAAAGCUACGUCGGAGCUGAGCAAUUUUCUGAUGCUAGAUGUAAGCCACAAUAGCUUUAUCAGAGGGGAACUUGCAUCAACAAUCAUUAGUGUAUUGACGAGUGAUGGCAGCAUGUCACCACAUCCAGGACGAUCAAUAGUGUUGCACGAUUUGCUGAUAGAUCUAGUCUCAGCCUUCAGCAGCUAAACAGCACAUGGAGAUUCAUGUGGAUAUAGAAACAAGGCAAUAGACUUGUGCUCUAGACAACGUCUCUUAUGACGCCUCUGUUUGGUUUGACCUAUGACACCACCUUCUCCACUCACUACUCGUCCCCUUUCCUCUCCUUUUACUCCUCCGCCCCCCCCUUCUCCUCUUCCUUGUUCUCGUUCUCCUCCCCCUUCUCUACCUCCUCUUCCUUUAUCUGCUCCUCCCUCUCCUCCUUCACUUACUUCCCCUCCUUACCACUCCCCCCCCUCCCCCCUCUUCCCUUUCUUCUCUUUCUUCCCGGACAGACUAGAAAGCCGAAGUGUUAUGGCUGACGUUUCUAUGGAAACCCCUGUAGCCAGAAUAAAGUUAAUUUCCCCAUAGGCAGUCAGGAAAUGUUUGUGGUGGUGAUGGUGCUGGGGGGGGCAGAUUUGUGGGGACCGAACUUUGCUCUCCUAGCAAGUGGUCUAAUUAUCUGUCUCUCACUUUGUCCACUGACAUCAGUGAUAUUGGCUCUAAUGACUGAGAUCCUCAUGUCUCCUUCCCAACAAUGGGAUUUGUUGUCCAGAACAGAAUAGGGUUUCCACAGGCAUAAAGGUCAGCUAACGCUUGUUUCUCUCUUCGGAAUUAAUUGAUGGAUGUACCUUGUUGUUUGAAUAUUUUCUUUUUUGAUGAGGGGUAUUGACAUUAAUGGCUUUGUGUUCAAUUGAGAGUGAGACUAUGCUACUGUAGCUUCAUGAAAAUGCAUAAACUGUCUCACAUUUCAACAGGGAUAAAUCCAAAAGCAGAAUGUCACGUGUCUUAAUCUGGGAAUAACCAUAACAUUACCAACAUUUGUAGAUAAUCUCUCUUGUAACAACCAUACCAUUAAUGAAUGUUUAGAUCAAUAUUCUGAGAAAAAACUUAACUCCAACAUUUCAGAUCAGUACUCCUUAAUUUAACUUGUGCCACAAAGUCAGAAUGCUGCCUACCUGACUAAUCAGGUAAAAUGCACGAUUGCCAGAUCCCACCUUCAUGUUACACUCCCUCACCUGAUUGGUUGUUUCACGCAGACCACUCAUUCUUUCACCUCACUAAUCAUGCGGACAACUUUGUGGCGGUUGCAUCUAAUGGCAAGCCUGCUUUUCUGAGACUAUUGGCAUUUACAAAACAACUAUGAACUGGAAAC